rnacentral:rRNA from 1 species
AUUGAACGCUGGCGGCAGGCCUAACACAUGCAAGUCGAGCGAGCGGCGGACGGGUGAGUAAUGUCUGGGAAACUGCCUGAUGGAGGGGGAUAACUCCUGGAAACGGUAACUAAUACCGCAUCCCAUCAGAUGUGCCCAGGUGGGAUUAGCUCGUAGGUGGGGUAACGGCUCACCUAGGCGACGAUCCCUAGCUGGUCUGAGAGGAUGACCAGCCAAACUGGAACUGAGACACGGUCCAGACUCCUACGGGAGGCAGCAGUGGGGAAGAUUGCACAAUGGGCGCAAUCCUGAUGCAGCCAUGCCGCGGGUGUGAAGAAGGCCGUCGGGUUGUAAAGCACUUUCAGCGGGGAGGCGUUACCCGCAGAAGAAGCACCGGCUAACUCCGUGCCAGCAGCCGCGGUAAUUC